UCCGAUAUGGUGUAACGGCUAACAUCGCCGCCUUUCAGUAAAUGAAAGUAAGUACCGCGGCAGCUCGGGGUUCGAUUCCCCGUAUCGGAG
rnacentral:tRNA from 1 species